rnacentral:rRNA from 1 species
AUUGAACGCUGGCGGCAUGCCUUACACAUGCAAGUCGAACGGCAGCACGGGAGCAAUCCUGGUGGCGAGUGGCGAACGGGUGAGUAAUACAUCGGGACGUGCCCAGUAGUGGGGGAUAGCCCGGCGAAAGCCGGAUUAAUACCGCAUACGACCUACGGGUGAAAGCGGGGGAUCGCAAGACCUCGCGCUAUUGGAGCGGCCGAUGUCAGAUUAGGUAGUUGGUGAGGUAAAGGCUCACCAAGCCUUCGAUCUGUAGCUGGUCUGAGAGGACGACCAGCCACACUGGGACUGAGACACGGCCCAGACUCCUACGGGAGGCAGCAGUGGGGAAUUUUGGACAAUGGGCGCAAGCCUGAUCCAGCCAUGCCGCGUGCGGGAAGAAGGCCUUCGGGUUGUAAACCGCUUUUGUCAGGGAAGAAACGCUCUGGGCUAAUACCCCGGGGUAAUGACGGUACCUGAAGAAUAAGCACCGGCUAACUACGUGCCAGCAGCCGCGGUAAUACGUAGGGUGCAAGCGUUAAUCGGAAUUACUGGGCGUAAAGCGUGCGCAGGCGGUCAUGCAAGACAGAUGUGAAAUCCCCGGGCUUAACCUGGGAACUGCAUUUGUGACUGCAUGGCUUGAGUGCGGCAGAGGGGGAUGGAAUUCCGCGUGUAGCAGUGAAAUGCGUAGAUAUGCGGAGGAACACCGAUGGCGAAGGCAAUCCCCUGGGCCUGUA